rnacentral:rRNA from 1 species
AGCAUAUCAAUAAGCGGAGGAAAAGAAACCAACAGGGAUUGCCCUAGUAACGGCGAGUGAAGCGGCAACAGCUCAAAUUUGAAAUCUGGCGUCUUUGGCGUCCGAGUUGUAAUUUGCAGAGGGCGCUUUGGCAUUGGCAGCGGUCCAAGUUCCUUGGAACAGGACGUCACAGAGGGUGAGAAUCCCGUACGUGGUCGCUAGCCUUUACCGUGUAAAGCCCCUUCGACGAGUCGAGUUGUUUGGGAAUGCAGCUCUAAAUGGGAGGUAAAUUUCUUCUAAAGCUAAAUACUGGCCAGAGACCGAUAGCGCACAAGUAGAGUGAUCGAAAGAUGAAAAGCACUUUGGAAAGAGAGUUAAAAAGCACGUGAAAUUGUUGAAAGGGAAGCGCUUGCAGCCAGACUUGCCUGUAGUUGCUCAUCCGGGUUUUUACCCGGUGCACUCUUCUAUAGGCAGGCCAGCAUCAGUUUGGGCGGUUGGAUAAAGGUCUCUGUCAUGUACCUCUCUUCGGGGAGAACUUAUAGGGGAGACGACAUGCAACCAGCCUGGACUGAGGUCCGCGCAUCUGCUAGGAUGCUGGCGU